rnacentral:rRNA from 1 species
UGCGGAGGGAUCAUUGCUGGAACGCGCCCCUGGCGCACCCAGAAACCCUUUGUGAACUUAUACCUUACUGUUGCCUCGGCGCAGGCCGUCCUUACGGGACCCUUGGUAACAAGGAGCAGCCGGCCGGUGGCCAAGUUAACUCUUGUAUUAAUUUGUCUCUCUGAGCAUAAACAUAAAUGAAUCAAAACUUUCAACAACGGAUCUCUUGGUUCUGGCAUCGAUGAAGAACGCAGCGAAAUGCGAUAAGUAAUGUGAAUUGCAGAAUUCAGUGAAUCAUCGAAUCUUUGAACGCACAUUGCGCCCUCUGGUAUUCCGGAGGGCAUGCCUGUUCGAGCGUCAUUUCAACCCUCAAGCCUGGCUUGGUGUUGGGGCACUGCUUUACCCACAAGCAGGCCCUGAAAUAUAGUGGCGAGCUCGCCAGGACUCCGAGCGUAGUAGUUAAACCCUCGCUUUGGAAGGCCUGGCGGUGCCCUGCCGUUAAACCCCAACUUUUGAAAAUUUGACCUCGGAUCAGGUAGGAAUACCCGCUGAACUUAAGCAUAUCAAUAA